rnacentral:rRNA from 1 species
GGGUUGUGAGGUUAAGCGACUAAGCGUACACGGUGGAUGCCCUGGCAGUCAGAGGCGAUGAAGGACGUGCUAAUCUGCGAUAAGCGUCGGUAAGGUGAUAUGAACCGUUAUAACCGGCGAUUUCCGAAUGGGGAAACCCAGUGUGAUUCGUCACACUAUCAUUAACUGAAUCCAUAGGUUAAUGAGGCGAACCGGGGGAACUGAAACAUCUAAGUACCCCGAGGAAAAGAAAUCAACCGAGAUUCCCCCAGUAGCGGCGAGCGAACGGGGAGCAGCCCAGAGCCUGAAUCAGUGUGUGUGUUAGUGGAAGCGUCUGGAAAGGCGCGCGAUACAGGGUGACAGCCCCGUACACAAAAAUGCACAUGCUGUGAGCUCGAUGAGUAGGGCGGGACACGUGGUAUCCUGUCUGAAUAUGGGGGGACCAUCCUCCAAGGCUAAAUACUCCUGACUGACCGAUAGUGAACCAGUACCGUGAGGGAAAGGCGAAAAGAACCCCGGCGAGGGGAGUGAAAAAGAACCUGAAACCGUGUACGUACAAGCAGUGGGAGCACGCUUAGGCGUGUGACUGCGUACCUUUUGUAUAAUGGGUCAGCGACUUAUAUUCUGUAGCAAGGUUAACCGAAUAGGGGAGCCGAAGGGAAACCGAGUCUUAACUGGGCGUUAAGUUGCAGGGUAUAGACCCGAAACCCGGUGAUCUAGCCAUGGGCAGGUUGAAGGUUGGGUAACACUAACUGGAGGACCGAACCGACUAAUGUUGAAAAAUUAGCGGAUGACUUGUGGCUGGGGGUGAAAGGCCAAUCAAACCGGGAGAUAGCUGGUUCUCCCCGAAAGCUAUUUAGGUAGCGCCUCGUGAAUUCAUCUCCGGGGGUAGAGCACUGUUUCGGCAAGGGGGUCAUCCCGACUUACCAACCCGAUGCAAACUGCGAAUACCGGAGAAUGUUAUCACGGGAGACACACGGCGGGUGCUAACGUCCGUCGUGAAGAGGGAAACAACCCAGACCGCCAGCUAAGGUCCCAAAGUCAUGGUUAAGUGGGAAACGAUGUGGGAAGGCCCAGACAGCCAGGAUGUUGGCUUAGAAGCAGCCAUCAUUUAAAGAAAGCGUAAUAGCUCACUGGUCGAGUCGGCCUGCGCGGAAGAUGUAACGGGGCUAAACCAUGCACCGAAGCUGCGGCAGCGACGCUGAUGCGUUGUUGGGUAGGGGAGCGUUCUGUAAGCCUGUGAAGGUGUACUGUGAGGUAUGCUGGAGGUAUCAGAAGUGCGAAUGCUGACAUAAGUAACGAUAAAGCGGGUGAAAAGCCCGCUCGCCGGAAGACCAAGGGUUCCUGUCCAACGUUAAUCGGGGCAGGGUGAGUCGACCCCUAAGGCGAGGCCGAAAGGCGUAGUCGAUGGGAAACAGGUUAAUAUUCCUGUACUUGGUGUUACUGCGAAGGGGGGACGGAGAAGGCUAUGUUGGCCGGGCGACGGUUGUCCCGGUUUAAGCGUGUAGGCUGGUUUUCCAGGCAAAUCCGGAAAAUCAAGGCUGAGGCGUGAUGACGAGGCACUACGGUGCUGAAGCAACAAAUGCCCUGCUUCCAGGAAAAGCCUCUAAGCAUCAGGUAACAUCAAAUCGUACCCCAAACCGACACAGGUGGUCAGGUAGAGAAUACCAAGGCGCUUGAGAGAACUCGGGUGAAGGAACUAGGCAAAAUGGUGCCGUAACUUCGGGAGAAGGCACGCUGAUAUGUAGGUGAAGUCCCUCGCGGAUGGAGCUGAAAUCAGUCGAAGAUACCAGCUGGCUGCAACUGUUUAUUAAAAACACAGCACUGUGCAAACACGAAAGUGGACGUAUACGGUGUGACGCCUGCCCGGUGCCGGAAGGUUAAUUGAUGGGGUCAGCGCAAGCGAAGCUCUUGAUCGAAGCCCCGGUAAACGGCGGCCGUAACUAUAACGGUCCUAAGGUAGCGAAAUUCCUUGUCGGGUAAGUUCCGACCUGCACGAAUGGCGUAAUGAUGGCCAGGCUGUCUCCACCCGAGACUCAGUGAAAUUGAACUCGCUGUGAAGAUGCAGUGUACCCGCGGCAAGACGGAAAGACCCCGUGAACCUUUACUAUAGCUUGACACUGAACAUUGAGCCUUGAUGUGUAGGAUAGGUGGGAGGCUUUGAAGUGUGGACGCCAGUCUGCAUGGAGCCGACCUUGAAAUACCACCCUUUAAUGUUUGAUGUUCUAACGUUGACCCGUGAUCCGGGUUGCGGACAGUGUCUGGUGGGUAGUUUGACUGGGGCGGUCUCCUCCUAAAGAGUAACGGAGGAGCACGAAGGUUGGCUAAUCCUGGUCGGACAUCAGGAGGUUAGUGCAAUGGCAUAAGCCAGCUUGACUGCGAGCGUGACGGCGCGAGCAGGUGCGAAAGCAGGUCAUAGUGAUCCGGUGGUUCUGAAUGGAAGGGCCAUCGCUCAACGGAUAAAAGGUACUCCGGGGAUAACAGGCUGAUACCGCCCAAGAGUUCAUAUCGACGGCGGUGUUUGGCACCUCGAUGUCGGCUCAUCACAUCCUGGGGCUGAAGUAGGUCCCAAGGGUAUGGCUGUUCGCCAUUUAAAGUGGUACGCGAGCUGGGUUUAGAACGUCGUGAGACAGUUCGGUCCCUAUCUGCCGUGGGCGCUGGAGAACUGAGGGGGGCUGCUCCUAGUACGAGAGGACCGGAGUGGACGCAUCACUGGUGUUCGGGUUGUCAUGCCAAUGGCACUGCCCGGUAGCUAAAUGCGGAAGAGAUAAGUGCUGAAAGCAUCUAAGCACGAAACUUGCCCCGAGAUGAGUUCUCCCUGACUCCUUGAGAGUCCUGAAGGAACGUUGAAGACGACGACGUUGAUAGGCCGGGUGUGUAAGCGCAGCGAUGCGUUGAGCUAACCGGUACUAAUGAACCGUGAGGCUUAACCUUACAACGCCGAAG